rnacentral:rRNA from 1 species
AGCUCCAAUAGCGUAUAUUAAAGUUGUUGUGGUUAAAAAGCUCGUAGUUGGAUCUCAACAGCCUUGAAGCGGUUAACUUUGUAGUUUUACUGCUUUAUAGGCUGUGCUUUUGCUGGGGGUUUGGGGUUGUCUUUGUUCGGGGUUCUUUGGAUGCCAGCAGGUUUACUUUGAAAAAAUUAGAGUGCUCAAAGCAGGCUAAAAUGCCUGAAUAUUCGUGCAUGGAAUAAUAGAAUAGGAUGUCGAUCCUAUUUUGUUGGGUUUCGGGACUCGACAUAAUGAUAAAUAGGGACAGUCGGGGGCAUUUGUAUUCAAACGACAGAGGUGAAAUUCUUGGACCGUUUGAAGACAAACUACUGCGAAAGCAUUUGCCAAGAAUGUUUUCA